GUACACUCCUGCGGGAGGCAGCAGUGGGGAAUAUUGGACAAUGGGCGCAAGCCUGAUCCAGCCAUGCCGCGUGAGUGAUGAAGGCCCUAGGGUUGUAAAGCUCUUUCACCGGUGAAGAUAAUGACGGUAACCGGAGAAGAAGCCCCGGCUAACUUCGUGCCAGCAGCCGCGGUAAUACGAAGGGGGCUAGCGUUGUUCGGAUUUACUGGGCGUAGAGCGCACGUAGGCGGACUAUUAAGUCAGGGGUGAAAUCCCGGGGCUCAACCCCGGAACUGCCUUUGAUACUGGUAGUCUUGAGUUCGAGAGAGGUGAGUGGAAUUCCGAGUGUAGAGGUGAAAUUCGUAGAUAUUCGGAGGAACACCAGUGGCGAAGGCGGCUCACUGGCUCGAUACUGACGCUGAGGUGCGAAAGCGUGGGGAGCAAACAGGAUUAGAAACCCUUGUAGUCCCAUGAU
rnacentral:rRNA from 1 species